rnacentral:rRNA from 1 species
GAUCUCAAAUCAAGUAAGACUACCCGCUGAACUUAAGCAUAUCAAUAAGCGGAGGAAAAGAAACUAACAAGGAUUCCCCUAGUAACGGCGAGUGAAGCGGGAUGAGCUCAAAUUUAAAUCUGGCUGGUUUACUAGUCCGAAUUGUAGUUUAAAGAAGCGUUUUCGGUGGCAGCCUGGGUAUAAAUCCUUUGGAACAGGGUAUCAUAGAGGGUGAGAAUCCCGUCUUUGACUCAGUGCAUGCUACUAUGUGAUACGUUUUCAAAGAGUCGAGUUGUUUGGGAAUGCAGCCCAAAAUGGGUGGUAAAUUUCAUCUAAAGCUAAAUAUUGGCGAGAGACCGAUAGCGAACAAGUACCGUGAGGGAAAGAUGAAAAGAACUUUGAAAAGAGAGUUAAACAGUGCGUGAAAUUGUUGAAAGGGAAACGCUUGACACCAG